CGACUCGAUGAUCCAAUGACUGAAAAUAUUUUAGAUUGGGGCUAUCAAGAUUUUAGAUCUUACUGGUAUGAUCUCAUCAUGGCCCUAAAAUCAUUUUCUUAAUCUGUGGGGUUUAUCAUAAUUAUAAAAUAUGAUACAGCAAAUGAUAAAAUAUAAUACCUCAUAAAUAAAAUAACCAAUGUCAUGAAAAUGAGCAAAAAGAUAUCACAGAAAAAUUCCAUCGCAUCACCCAUACAAUUGACUUGUAAGGCACUAAUCUUUCAUAGCAGCCA
rnacentral:lncRNA from 1 species